AUUGAGCGCUGGCGGCAUGCCUUACACAUGCAAGUCGAACGGUAACAGGUCUUCGGAUGCUGACGAGUGGCGAACGGGUGAGUAAUACAUCGGAACGUGCCUAGUAGUGGGGGAUAACUACUCGAAAGAGUGGCUAAUACCGCAUGAGAUCUACGGAUGAAAGCAGGGGGUCGCAAGACCUUGUGCUACUAGAGCGGCCGAUGGCAGAUUAGGUAGUUGGUGGGAUAAAAGCUUACCAAGCCGACGAUCUGUAGCUGGUCUGAGAGGACGAUCAGCCACACUGGGACUGAGAAACGGCCCAGACUCCUACGGGAGGCAGCAGUGGGGAAUUUUGGACAAUGGGCGCAAGCCUGAUCCAGCAAUGCCGCGUGCAGGAUGAAGGCCUUCGGGUUGUAAACUGCUUUUGUACGGAACGAAAAGCCCCGGGUUAAUACCCUGGGGUCAUGACGGUACCGUAAGAAUAAGCACCGGCUAACUACGUGCCAGCCGCCGCCGUAA
rnacentral:rRNA from 1 species